rnacentral:rRNA from 1 species
AUUGAACGCUGGCGGCAGGCCUAACACAUGCAAGUCGAGCGGAGCGGCGGACGGGUGAGUAAUGUCUGGGAAACUGCCUAUUAGUGGGGGACAACAUCUCGUAAGGGAUGCUAAUACCGCAUACUAAUAGAUGAGCCUAAGUCGGAUUGGCUAGUUGGUGGGGUAAAGUCCUACCAAGGCGACGAUCUGUAGGGGGUCUGAGAGGAUGACCCGGGAACCUGAGACUGGGACACGGCCCAGAGUCAUACGGGAGGCAGAAGUAGGGAAUAGUGGAAAAUGGGGAGAACAGUGAUCAAGACAGGCCGCGGGUGUGAAGAAGGCGAUAUGGAUGUAAAGCACUUUAAGCGAGGAGGCGUUACUCGAAGAAUAAGCACCGGCUAACUCUGUGCCAGCAGCCGCGGUAAUAC